rnacentral:lncRNA from 1 species
CAGGGGCCUCGAGGGCUCGAAUACAAGUGCUCGAUCAUAGACGAGUCAGCGGAAGCAAUAAUAUCUGAGUACAGACAUAAGUUAAACAAGUUGCCAUAAGAUGGCUAGCACAAACUAGGAUACAGAUCGAAAGAGGCGCAUGCCUCCUGCCUGGGAUCCUCCUAACUACUACUGGUCGUCGUCAACAGCCUGCACGUAGUAGUAGGCACCUCCAGUGUAGUAGUCGUCGUCGACGGUGGCGUCUGGCUCCUGGACUCCAACGUCUGGUUGCGGCAUCUGAGAAGAAGAGGAAAACGGGGGAAAAGAGGGAGCAAAGCAACCGUGAGUACUCAUCCAAAGUACUCGCAAGCAAGGAUCUACACUACAUAUGCAUGGGUAUAUGUGUAAAGAGGCAAUAUCGGUGGACUGAACUGCAGAAUGCCAGAAUAAAAGCGGGAUAGCUAGUCUUAUCGAAGACUACGCUUCUGGCAGCCACGUCUGGCAGCAUGUAGAAGAGAGUAGAUUGAAGUCCUCCAAGUAGCAUCGCAUAGCAUAAUCCUACCGAGAUCCUCUCCUCGUCGCCCUGUGGCAAAGCGAUCACCGGGUUGUCUCUGGAACUUGUCUGGGUGUGUUUUAUUAAGUAUCCGGUUCUAGUUGUCAUAAGGUCAAGGUACAACUCCAAGUCGUCAUGUUACCGAAGAUCAUGGCUAUUCGAAUAGAUAAACUUCCAUGCAGGGGUGCACCACAUAACCCGACACGCCCGAUCCCAUUUGGCCAGACACACUUUCCUGGGUCAUGCCCGGCCUCGGAAGAUCAACACGUCGCAGCCCCACCUAGGCAUAACAGAGAGGUCAGCACGCCGGUCUAACUCCUAUGGCGCAGGGGUCUGGGGCCAUUGCCUAUUGCACAUCUGCACGUUGCGUGGGCGGCCGAAAGCAGACCUAGCCUCCCUAAUACAAGAGCAGAUGUUCCAGUCCAAUCCGGCGCGCCGCUCAGUCGCUGACGUCAAGAAGGCUUCGGCUGAUACCACGACGUCGAUUGCCCAUAACUGUUCCCGCGUAGUUGGUUAGUGCGUAUAGGCUAGUGACCAGACUCAGAUCAAAUACCAAGAUCUCGUUAAGCGUGUUAUUAUGAAGUAACCGCGAACGCCGACCAGGGCCAGGCCCACCACUCUCCUAGGUGGUCUCAACCUGCCCUGUCGCUCCGCCACAAAGUAACAGUCGGGGACCGUCAGGAACCCAGGCCCACCUCUACCGGGAUGGAGCCACCUGUCCUUCCAGACCCCACAUCGGAAUCACUUGCGGGUAGUCAACGAGCCAACUCGACUUUAGUCACCAUCUGUAUAGUAUGUAUAUAUGUAUAGUAUUUACCCGUGAUCACCUCCCGAGUGAUCACAGCCCAAUAGUAUAGCAAGGCAGACUGACAAGAAUGUAGGGCCAAUGAUGAUAAACUAGCAUCCUAUACUAAGGAUUUAGGAUUGCGGGUAAGGUAUCAACGACUGUAGCAACAAUGACAGGCUAUGCAACAGAAUAGGAGUAACCGAACAGUAACAUGCUACACUACUCUAAUGCAAGCAGUAUAGAGAAGAAUAGGCGAUAUCUGGUGAUCAAGGGGGGGGGGGCUUGCCUGGUUGCUUUGGAAAGGAGGGGUCGUUGUCGACGUAGUCAUACUCAGGGGC